rnacentral:lncRNA from 1 species
AGAUCCUCACCAGAAUUUGGAGUUCGACUAAUUUUAGUGUCAAUUGAACGAGGAUAAGAUCAAUUCAGUUGAACGUGCAUCUGUUAUUUAGUUGAACAAGAAAGUUAGCAGAUGAUGUAAUUCUACCCCCAAGGAUAUUGGAUAGAAGACUUCAAGAGAAUUGGGUUAGAGCUAUUAAAGAAAAUCCUGGGGUUCUCAUGAACCUCAGGAUAGAUUUCUGAGUUCAUGGGUUAAG